GUGGGGUAACGGCCCACCAAGGCUCCGACGGGUAGCCGGCCUGAGAGGGCGACCGGCCACACUGGGACUGAGACACGGCCCAGACUCCUACGGGAGGCAGCAGUGGGGAAUAUUGCACAAUGGGCGAAAGCCUGAUGCAGCGACGCCGCGUGAGGGAUGACGGCCUUCGGGUUGUAAACCUCUUUCAGUACCGACGAAGCGAAAGUGACGGUAGGUACAGAAGAAGCACCGGCCAACUACGUGCCAGCAGCCGCGGUAAUACGUAGGGUGCAAGCGUUGUCCGGAAUUAUUGGGCGUAAAGAGCUCGUAGGCGGCUUGUCGCGUCGGCUGUGAAAACCUGGGGCUCAACCCCGGGCCUGCAGCCGAUACGGGCAAGCUAGAAUUCGGUAGGGGAGACUGGAAUUCCUGGUGUAGCGGUGAAAUGCGCAGAUAUCAGGAGGAACACCGGUGGCGAAGGCGGGUCUCUGGGCCGAUAUUGACGCUGAGGAGCGAAAGCGUGGGGAGCGAACAGGAUUAGAUACCCUGGUAGUCCACGCCGUAAACGUUGGGCGCUAGGUGUGGGCCACAUUCCACGUGGUCUGUGCCGCAGCUAACGCAUUAAGCG
rnacentral:rRNA from 1 species